CAGCACCUCAAGUGGUCAGGAUGAUUAUUGGGCCUAAAGCAUCCGUAGCCGGCGCUGUAAGUUUUCGGUUAAAUCUGUACGCUCAACGUACAGGCUGCCGGGAAUACUGCAGCGCUAGGGAGUGGGAGAGGUAGACGGUACUCGGUAGGAAGGGGUAAAAUCCUUUGAUCUAUUGAUGACCACCUGUGGCGAAGGCGGUCUACCAGAACACCUCCGACGGUGAGGGAUGAAAGCUGGGGGAGCAAACCGGAUUAGAUACCCGAGUAGUCC
rnacentral:rRNA from 1 species